rnacentral:rRNA from 1 species
AUUGAACGCUAGCGGGAUGCCUUACACAUGCAAGUCGAACGGAGUGGCGAACGGGUGAGUAAUGUAUCGGAACGUGCCCAGUAGCGGGGGAUAACUACGCGAACGCGUAGCUAAUACCGCAUACUAUUGGAGCGGCCGAUACCGGAUUAGGUAGGUGGUGGGGUAACGGCUCACCAAGGCGACGAUCCGUAGCUGGUUUGAGAGGACGACCAGCCACACUGGGACUGAGACACGGCCCAGACUCCUACGGGAGGCAGCAGUGGGGAAUUUUGUACAAUGGGUGAAACCCUGAUCCAGCCAUCCCGCGUGUACGAUGAAGGCCUUCGGGUUGUAAAGUACUUUCAGCGGGGAGGCGUUACUCGCAGAAGAAGCACCGGCUAACUCCGUGCCAGCAGCCGCGGUAAUUC